UACGGAGGGUGCGAGCGUUGUCCGGAAUCACUGGGCGUAAAGGGCGCGUAGGCGGCCUGGUAAGUAGGGGGUGAAAUCCUGCGGCUUAACCGCAGGGCUGCCUUCUAAACUGUCAGGCUAGAGCACGGUAGAGGCAGAUGGAAUUCCCGGUGUAGCGGUGGAAUGCGUAGAGAUCGGGAAGAACAUCAGUGGCGAAGGCGGGCUGCUGGGCCGUUGCUGACGCUGAGGCGCGACAGCGGGGGGAGCAAACAGG
rnacentral:rRNA from 1 species